rnacentral:misc_RNA from 1 species
ACCGUUCCUGGAGCACGGGGGGGCGGGGGCCGACCGCCGCGAGUCGGGGGCGCUGCGCACGCAGCAGACCACCUCAGGCCGCCUGGGGACGCGUCCCGGCGAGAAGGAGUGGAGCAGCCGGAUGCGGUGCCCCCCUGCGGCGGCCGUCGCAGCUAGACGGCGGCGCGCAGCGAGGAGCGGGCCCGAGUCCCCGCUGGCCGCGGCGGCGGAGGCGGCCAUGAGGAGCAGAGAGUGGAGCGACGGCCGCGGGGGCAUCACGGGGCACCGGGUAGGGUUCCGGCAGCCUGGUUGGUCAGAGGCGCGGGGACAUGGGGCAGGCAGAGCAGGGGAGGAGGGGUUUGGG